UACAGAGGAGCCAAGCGUUGUCCGGAUUGACUGGGCGUAAAGCGCGCGCAGGCGGCCUCGCGCGCCCGACGUGAAAGCCCCCGGCUUAACCGGGGAGAGUCGUUGGGGACGGCGGGGCUUGAGGGCGGGAGAGGACGGUGGAAUUCCCGGUGUAGUGGUGAAAUGCGUAGAGAUCGGGAGGAACACCUGUGGCGAAGGCGGCCGACUGGGCCGACCCUGACGCUGAGGCGCGAAGGCGUGGGGAGCGAACGGG
rnacentral:rRNA from 1 species